UUUCAAAAUAAAUAUGAGGUAAAUAGAGCUAGGAACUAAAACAAAUGGGAAGAUUACUUAGAUGUAACUACAAUUUUGUAUUGCAUAUCAAGUUCUAAUUUAAGUUACUAUCUUAUUUCUGUACAGCUAAUUGUAGAGUCUAGGUUAAUAAAACAAGAGAAAUAUGGAUUUGGUAUAUGGCCUUUGCAUCUUUGGUUGUAGCUAUGAGAAAUAAUCUAUAUUCACAUUUAACAGAAAAUACAUUGAUUUAGAACAACUUUAUGUAGUUAUUUCACUUUGACAAGAGAAAAGACAAGAUGAACUGUCAUAUAAUAACUGAAAUUAAAUCUUCAUUUGGUAUGAAAAGAAUUUGUAUCUCAUUUCCAAAAACAUGAUUGUACCCCAUAGGAAUUUGUUAUCUAAAUUUAAAGGCUUAACAAAAACUACACAGAGUUGAAGAUGCUUUGUUAAUUACUGAAUAAAUUGGGAUUUUUGAUAAUCAUUUUAUAUUCUCUUCUUGUUACCCCUUUUUAUUUAAACAGGUAUUGGAAAGGUGAAAAGAAAACCUAGUGUACCAGAUUCUGCAUCUCCAGCUGAUGAUAGUUUUGUUGACCCAGGGGAACGUCUCUAUGACCUCAACAUGCCUGCUUAUGUGAAAUUUAACUACAUGGCUGAGAGGGAGGAUGAAUUAUCAUUGAUAAAAGGGACGAAGGUGAUCGUCAUGGAGAAAUGCAGUGAUGGGUGGUGGCGGGGUAGCUACAAUGGACAAGUUGGGUGGUUCCCUUCAAACUAUGUAACUGAAGAAGGUGACAGUCCUUUGGGUGACCAUGUGGGUUCUCUGUCGGAGAAAUUAGCAGCAGUUGUCAAUAACCUAAAUACUGGGCAAGUGUUGCAUGUGGUACAGGCUCUUUACCCAUUCAGCUCAUCCAAUGAUGAAGAACUUAAUUUUGAGAAAGGAGAUGUAAUGGAUGUUAUUGAAAAACCUGAAAAUGACCCAGAGUGGUGGAAAUGCAGGAAGAUCAAUGGAAUGGUUGGUCUGGUGCCAAAAAACUAUGUUACCAUUAUGCAGAAUAAUCCAUUAACCUCAAGUAUGGAACCAUCACCUCCACAGUGUGAUUACAUUAGGCCAUCACUCACUGGGAAGUUUGCUGGCAAUCCUUGGUAUUAUGGCAAAGUCACCAGGCAUCAAGCAGAAAUGGCAUUAAAUGAAAGAGGGCAUGAGGGGGAUUUCCUCAUUCGUGAUAGUGAAUCUUCGGACAGAGUGGUGCACCUUCUUUCCCUUACUUCCCACUUACCUUGUUCUGAGGAGGCAG